GGCUGCUAUAGCUCAGGUUGGUUUGGCCUGCCUUUAUUCUCUAUGUGCUCUCCCUUUGCCCUCCUAGGUCAUACCCCUUGUCCCCUGAAAAGUAACAAGAUUUGAGCUUGACUAUUCUGUCGAUUUUUUUAAUGUACCUAAUUAAUUUUAAAUACCCUAAUUGUUGCAAGUGAUCGUACAUCUAAGGUUGUCAUUUCAAAAUUUAUGAAAUUGCAAAAUUCAAUCUUUUGGAUCAACUGGAAGAUCCACUUUGGGCCAUCUAAGCUUGAUAAAUCUGGUGCAUUAUGGAUUGCAUUCAGAUUUUCAUCUAACUAUGCCAUAUGAUUAUUUUGAAAGAUUGUAGUAUGAAUGAACCAAAUUCUAUCUCAGAACAUGCUGUUGUGUGGGUUGUUGGCAAUUUAACAUUAUGAAUCCUCCUUAAUAUUCAGAAUGAAGGUCUAGGGAAGC
rnacentral:misc_RNA from 1 species